rfam:Triticum urartu cultivar G1812 contig1091923, whole genome shotgun sequence.
GGCCUUGAUGAGCAUUGCUUACUUCUGACACCUCUUGUAUGAGACGGAACUUGCCCUGUUACCAUGAGCAGAUUAGCAACCCUCUGAGCU